rnacentral:lncRNA from 1 species
UUUGUUAUUGCCUCUUGUUUAUAUAUGUAAAUAUGUGUAUAUAUAUAAAUAUAUCAUGUAUAUAUUUAUAGAAAGUCCUUAUUGCUAUUAUUAUGUUGACAUAGCAGGCGGGUUUUGGGUAUCUAUUCGGGUUUCGGAUAUCUGUGGGUUUGGUUUUGGGGAUGGAUUAUCACCCGAAUCAAUAUUUGGUGCGGUUUUGGGUUUCAAGUUUGGGUGCACAUAGAUUUCACCUGAUCUGAAUCCGCCCCGUUGCCAUCCUUACUUGCCAGGUAGAUCAUAAGGAAACUAGCAUGGCCAGUUUAGCGGAGCCCAUUUUCUCUUUUCUUCGCUUGGGCUCCGAUUCUUCUUAUUGCGCCAAAUAUUUUCCUCCAUCUAUUAGGAACUUAUUAAAUAAAGUUCAAUCUCUCUGUCGGUGUUUUUUUUUUGAACAUAAGGUCAGUCUUAGUGAAGAGGUUUAAUUUUAUAGUUUUCAAGACCCCAUAUGUUGGAAACGGUAUAGAUAAAUUUCAAUGUUAUUCAAAAUUAUGUUCUUGUAGUAUAAAAUAUGAUAGAAUUGCAUGAACAAAUCAAAUGAUUCUCAAAGUUACGUUUUGUAGCAUAAAGAACAUUCCCAUGUGGCCAUAAAACAUGAUGCUGAUUUGCUUCAGUGCAGUACGUAGUACUGGGAAGACGCCAUGCAUAUGCAUGUUCUCGCGUGGUGUACUUCACCAUCUUGAGUCGAUCGAUUCCUUGGUACCAGCAGGAACGCGUCCCGGUAGUUGGCGUUUCUGCUGUACCCGCCGGCCGCCGCCGGCCGGUAUAGUAGCAGUGAGUGAAUGACCCUAGGGUUUUUUUUUUUUUUUUUGGAAAGGUUCAACGGGGGGGGGUUGAUCCCCCACCUGAUUUUAUUGAUUAUAGCUCAUCAUUCAUGAUUACAAGAGAUUUGUACAGGAGUUUUCGCUAGAUUAGAAGCACCGAUUACAUAGGGGUGAAUGAGUUUUCCCUCCUCUAGAAUUUCUCUGCUUCUCCAGCUGCUCAUCUUCUUCCCCUCGAACACACUAGUUUCCACUGCUAUUCUCAGGUUGCUAACAAUGAGCCUAGCUAGUACUCGUUGGAGCUUGGAGGUCGUCAGGUUGCCAAUAGCUAUAGGCACCGAGGAUGCGGAUGAGCCGAGAGCAGACGCAGAGGCAGCAGAGAGCGAUGUGGUGGAUGGAUCGCAGCGCGGGGCGGAGGCCAUGGCCUGGCCGCUGGACUUUUUUGCCUGGCAAUGUUGGCCAUGCAUGGCCAGCAAGGGAGGAACAAAGGAUGACCGGAUCGGCGGCCUUGUUUACUUCCCGAAAUGAAAAUUUUCGUGACACUGUAGCACUUUCGUUUGUUUGUGGUAAUUAUUGUCCAACCAUAGACUAACUAGGCUCAAAAGAUUCGUCUCGUCAAUUUUGACCAAACUGUGCAAUUAGUUUUUAUUUUUAUUUAUAUUUAAUACUCCAUGCAUGUGUAUAAAGAUUCGAUGUGACGGAGAAUUUUGAAAAAUUUUACGUUUUUGGGUGGAAGUAAACAAGGCGUUCAGACUUGUGAUGAGAGCGCAGCGCAGCCAAUACUAUUACUGCUCGCCUGCGAAUCUACACGACGGUUCGUCUGGCAGCCCUGCACGAUACGUAGAGGUGCGCGCACAGCAGGACGUCUCGCAGCUGGCACCGGAAAUCACUGAGAUCCCGGCCGGGCCGGCCAUGCAUGCCCACCUGCGCAAGCUUGGCUUUGCUGCGCUUCACUGUUGAUAGUUAACGCCUUUGCCCUAGCCCCAGGGCGCGGUCCCGGACUCCCGGUCCUUUGUCCUCAUUACUGCCACCAGGCAUGUGUGGGAGUCAGGCAGGUGUGAAGACUCGAUCAAGACGAGAAAAUUGUGAGGUGGGCUUUAGUUUCUAAAAAAUUUUGUAAAAUUUUUCAGGUUUCCCGUUACAUCGAUUUUUUUAGACGUGUGCAUAGAGUAUUAAAUAUAGACGAAAAUAAAAACUAAUUGCACAUUUUGAUCGGAAUUGACGAGACAAAUCUUUUGAGCCUAGUUAGUCUAUGAUUAGAUAAUAUUUGUCAAAUACAAACGAAAGUGCUACAGUAUCAACAAAACCAGCAAAUAAUGGUGCCAUUGCGAUAGCCAGCUCCGCCGCGUGCAUCGGCAUUAGCCGUCAGUUCGUCACGAUCUCUUUCGAAAAAGAUCACCAAUCACUUAGCUGCUGCACUGGCGCAACUACAGUGCCCGUUGCCUCUCAAGAAACUUGUUCAAUCACUAUAGGAGAUAGACGCUUUGCCGAGUGUCUCUUGCACUCGACAACGGUCCAAAUACACUUGACAAAGUCUUUACCGAGUCCACACUCGACAAAGAGCACACGGCGAAAUUUUGGUCGGCAAAAGAGUCUUUGCCGAGUGUUUUUUAUCGGACACUCGGCAAAGUUAAAAAUAAAAAAACAAAAAAUAGGAAAAUAGGAAAAUAUUUUUUUUAGGGGAAGGUCUGCCAUCAGCCAGCAACCACCACUGCACCCUCCACCUUUUCUUUGGCAGGAUUCGAACCUACGACCUCAAGCACCACACUCCUUUACCACUACACUAUACCAUCAGUUGUGAUUAUAUUCUGUUUCGGUUCUUCAUAUAUCAUACUAAAUCACAUGUAAAUUGAUUAUUUGAGCCUCUAAACGUUCAAAUCAAAAAGUUGUCAACUACAAAGUUUCAUAACUUUUUGAGAUAUAUAAUUUUCAUUUAGGAAGUUUCUCCAUCCGUGACCGUUUACAAAAUUUGAAUUUCAAAUUUGAGAAAUUUAAACGUAGUUUUUGCAUGACAACAUGGUUUCAAAUCAAAAAGUUAUCGACUACAAAGUUUCAUAACUUUUCGAUACCUACAAAGUUUAUUUAGUCAAUUUUUUCAUCCAAGGUAGUUUCAGAAAAUCAAAAUUAAAAUUUUUCAAAUAAAGAUGUAGUUUUGCAUGACAAGAUAAUUGUCCACCAUAAAAUUUUAUAACUUGUCAAAAUCUAUAAAGUUUAUUUUGGUUGUUUAAUCAUUUGCUCACCUGACGCGGUAAUUCUAAUAUUUUUCACAAAUCUUAUAUAUCUCUCUUGUAGUUCUAGGAACUAUAAGAGAGAUGUAAAAUUUGUGAAUAAAUUUAUCUUCACUUUGCCAAAUGAAGAAAUGGCCAAAAUAAAGAUUAUAGAUCUUGAGAAGUUAUACAACUUUGUAGUUCAAAAUUUUUUUAUUUAAAUUUGUUUAGGGAUUCAAAUUUUGAUUUGAAAUUUUCUUUGCCGAGUGUUUUUUUUUUUUGCACUCGGCAAAGAGGGUUCUUUGUCGAGAGUAAAAAAACACUCGGCAAAAAGGGUUCUUUGCCGAGUGUCAAAAAAACACUUGGCAAAGACCUUCUUCGCCGAGUGUUUUUUUUGACACACGGCAAAGAACCCUCUUUGCCGAGUGUUUUUCUCUGUCGAGCGUUUUUUUUUAGCACUCGGCAAAAAAGCUCUUUGCCAAGUGCCCGAAAAAAACACUCGGCAAACCAUUAGACACUCGGUAAAGAACCGGAUUCAUAGUGAAUAAUGUUUUCCUCAUAUCCUAAUCUAUAAUUUUAUGGGACUAGGAGCAGAACAAAUGAUACACAAAUACGAUUACCAACAUGGAUAUUUCUUUUUUUUUUCCUGGAUGUAGGUACUGGUACGAACUCAGAACUAGGCGGGCUUAAAUAAUUGGAUAAUGUGUGCUUGCACUCUGUGUUUGAAUCGUAAGUCGUUCUAACGUUUCUAGAUACAUAUAGCUUUGUUAGAAGCAUCUACUCCCUCUGUCCGUAAAUAACUAUCGUCGUUAGUUAAGACUAUCUCCAUCAAUUGUUACCCAAAAUACAAUACUCAUUUGUCCUUUGGGUAGCGCUACAGGUAAAAGAUUCCAUACCUAUUUUUAGUCUUCUCCAACAACAAGACCUAAAAGACAACACUCUCUGCAAAUAGGUCUCAAGGAGAGAGGAUACACAAAUUUGGGUUAUGCCUCUCCUGAUACCCAAAAUGGGUUUUCUGUAUGGGUACUCUGUUGGAGGCUAUAGGUAUUGUGUUGGAGACCUAUUUUGGGUUUGGGUUCCCAAAUGGGUCUCCUAUUGGAGACAGCCUAAUGUGUUUGUUGCAAGUUUGAUUUGAUUUGUAAAAAAAUAUGCACAAUAUUUGUAUCUCCAAAUAAAGUUAUUAAAAAAAUCUUGAUUUAAAGAUCUUUUUAAUAAUACUAAUUAUGUACCAUAAAUAUUAUAUAUAUAUAUAGUCAAAGUUGUUUCUCAGAAAAUACAAAUCAUAGAUAUCUGGGGACAAAGAAAAUGGAUACAAAAAUAAAAGUUAUAUAUCUAGCAAAGCCAAAACUAUAGAAUGGAGAGAGUACGUAUACAUGAAACUAUUUUACAAAAAUUAUCCAAGACAUUCAUCUGCUAUCCCAUCGAGCGCCACUGCGUUGGGCCUUAUCAGCCGCUUAUCCUUAGCACUUCGCUGGCCAUACUACUACCCAUCGCCAGUGGGGACGAAUGUGCGCGUUUCAGCCUUUCAGGUAGAGCAUGGCCCAUGUACGUACGGGUACGGCCUAGAGCCCACCGAGAGUUCCCCUUUCGGGCUGUCCAUACCAUAUGAGCAAAUGGCCCUAUCGCGGCCCAUAAGGCCAUAACAUUAUUUAGCUAGGAGCUAUGUUAAUUUUUUUCAAAAGAAGAUAUGUUUGGUUUCUUGCACUUUUUGAUGGAGUCCUAUACUUCUUACGCUGAUAUAUAAUGAAGGCUGAUUAUUUUGCAAAAGAAAAAAAAAAGGCCGCGGCAGGAGGACCGGACGGCCGCGAAAAUUAUUUUCUCGGCAGGGCAGAAAACAAAACAUAGCCUUGUUUACUUCUAAAAAAUUUUGCAAAAUAAAAAUAGUAGCACUUUCGUUUGUAUUUGACAAAUAUUAUCCAAUUAUGGAGUAACUAGGCUCAAAAGAUUCGUCUUGUCAAUUCCGACCAAACUGUGCAAUUAGUUUUUAUUUUUAUAUAUAUUUAAUACUCCAUGCAUAGAUCUAAAAAUUCGAUGUGACGAAGAAUCUAAAAAAUUUUGCAAAAAUUUUUGAAACUAAACAAGGCCCAAACUCUGAGAGGUUGGGUUCGGGCAACCACCCACAGAACACAGGCCGGGAGGUUUACAACGCCAUUGUCGGCGUGGCCCAUGCAGCGCCGAGCCACCACCACCACGAGUCCACGAGGCAGCGGAAUCAUGGCGCGCGCAGGGGUGGUCCCCCCCCCCCCCCCCCCCCCCCCGCUGCUGCUUCUGCCGAAACGACGAAAACAAACAGGGUUUCCACUUUGCGCAGCAGUAGAACUGAAGGUUGUUUACUUCUUUGGACUAUAAUCUUCGUUAUUUUUUGUCAGAGAAAAAAUACUAAUCAAUAGUUGACGGAUUCGAAAUGAAAAAAUUUUGCAAAUUUUUUCAGAUUCCCUGUCACAUCAAAUCUUUAGACGUAUGCAUAAAGUAAUAAAUAUAGACGAAAAUAAAAACUAAUUGCACAGUUUGGUCGGAAUUGACGAGACAAAUCUUUUGAGCCUAGUGAGUUCAUGAUUGGAUAAUAUUUGUCAAAUACAAACGAAAGCGCUACUAUUCUAAUUUUGUAAAAAUUUUUGGAACUAAACAAGUCCCCAGUGUACUCUAGCAACUUGUGUGCUCUCGCUCUGGCGGCCGCGGUCUCGCCGGCCGGCCCGGCGACGGCUGCGCACGCUGUCGCUGAGGUCCAGUCCAUUGGCUCACAGGCACCUGGUGGGCCGGGUUGGCGUAUGCUCUGUGCUGCACUGCACCAUACCAUUAGCCAUUGCCUAUGCCAAUUGCCAAGUCACCACGAAGAACCUGCGACUGCAUGCUUGCUUCCAAUUCCAAGCUGGCCAGAGCCAGACGACCCGAGACGAGGCCGGCCGGCUGGGCCGAGGCGAGGCGUGCGCAUGCUGCAUGCAUCAGGUGCUGCCUGAUGGUUAACUUCCCGUGGCGUGUGGGAUCCUGCUGCUUAACACCAUCGGUUGAGCUUGUAAGUAUAAUUAAACGUUGAUGGCCAACACCGGCACCUCAUGCGCAUCCAUGCAUGCCUGAUGCUGAUGCCGAUGCUGAUGGCGCGCCCGUUGGAACGCACCGGAAUCUCAGAAUGGCCAAUGCCCACUGGGCAAUGGCAUCUCGAUCAGGCGCGUCGGAACGUACUGGACCCCAAGACAAGCGUUUCUUGUCUGUACUAGUACCUACGUACUGGACCCAAGACAAGACCACACACGUUGCCAGGUCUGCUCGUACGCUACCGCUGCCCAACCCUCAACUGUACGUACGUAGGAGUACCGACUACGUACCGGCUACUCCUACGUCUCCAGUGUACUGUACAGUACAAGCUGAUGGUGCUGUGCUGGCCAGUGUACAGUACAACGGAUGGAAGCAAGCAGCACGAGCUGUGUCGGCCUGCCGGUACGUAGCUUCUCUGCACAACACAACACAACACUGCGACUCGCGGUUCGGGAUCAAACGCAGAUGGGCAGGGUAAAGCGUGCCAGCGUGUCGCGUUGCGUCGCCACGCGCCAAUAAAACGGAGACGGAUGGUGGAUGAUUCCUUUUCCUCCAGCACGCACCAGCAGCACCCGGCAGCUCUGGCGCUGUGACGUGUGGGGAACAGCGGUCGCGUGGAUCCAGGGCGCUGUCCCCCGAAUCCACGGCCAGUAGUAUACCGGAGCGGAGCGACGGUGAAAUCGCAACGUUAAUCACGGGUUGACUGGCCUCAAAGUUGGUGACACAGCCAAAACACAAACCCCAAGAAAGGCAGCCUGGCAUGCAGCAUCUACGUACACUGCACUGGUGCUUUCGUCAGGCCAGGGAGCGCUGCAGCUGCUACCACCUGUACACGGGGCGCAGCAGCACUCACUGACAGGUGUGUCACGCUGAGAUCCAUCCUACUGGUGUCUGGUGUGAUGUCAAGAUUAACCAUGGCCGGACCGGAGUGACACUAGGGUAGCUUUAAAUAUUUAAGCCUUGGCAUUGUUUAGAGGUGAAAUGUUUUUUAUUUCGCUACCGUAGCACUUUCGUUUAUUUAUGGUAAACAUUGUUCAAUUAUGGACUAACUAGAAUUAAAAAAUUUGUCUCUCGAUUUAUAGGCAAACUGUGUAAUUAGUUUUUUUUUCGUCUAUAUUUAAUACUUCAUGCAUGUUACACAAGAUUCGAUGUGACGUGGAAUCUUAAAACUUUUUGGUUUUUUGUGGGAACUAAACAUGGCCCUUGUUCAGUUCCUAAAAUUUUUUGUUUUCAGAUACCGUACCACUUUCGUUUUAGUUUGACAAAUAUUAUUCAAUAAUGAACUAAGGUAGUCUCAAUGCAUAGUUUCAUAACAUAGUUACCAACACUAUAAAUUAGUUAACCGAGUCACAUGAGUUUCAUAUGGAUAAAACUCCUCUCUCAUAUAAUGAAACUCCUCCAUUUAAUGAUUCUGACAAGUCAGCAAUUUUGUUUAUAUGACACCCUAUUUAAUAUGUAUGACACUGUUAUAAAAUAUGCAUUAAGACUACCUAACUAAGGUCAAAAGAUUCAUCUCGCGAUUUAUAAGCAAACUGUGAAAUUAGUUUUUGUUUUCGUCUAUAUUUAAUAAUAUAUAUGCAUGUGCACAAGAUUUGAUGUAACAGAGAAUCUUGAUUUUUUUUUUUAAUAAACAAGACCUUUGGGGCUUAAUCAAGAAGCGAAAGAAAGCUAGAGUUGCGGUGUCAUCAUGAGUUCUCGUGAUGAUUGGCUGGGUGGUGGUUAAGCUACUUCGCUAACCGUUAGGGCGGGCUGUACGACGUCACAUGGGAGGUGGUCUUAUCCAUAAACCUUCAUUGACAGUUGAACUAGUACUAAAUCGAGAGGUGAUGAUCGAGCUGAUAGCAUUAAGCCUAAACCCUAAAACAUCCCCCCCCCCCCCCCCCCCCCCCACAGAGGUAAAGCUCAGCUAGUUUAGUAAUCCGUCACUAACGGAGCAGGUGUUGCGUGCAGCUAGCGUGCGUCGUCAUAUGGUUGCGGCGACGUAUUUGCUUAGUUUGCGAUAACUUUUGUAAAAUUGUUUAGAUUUAUCGUCAUAUUAAACCUUACUGCAUAUGAAUAAACAUUAAAUAUAUAUUUAAAAAAUAACUAAUUCUAUAAUCUAUAUCUAUAUCUUAUCUAUAAAUAGCCAAAAUUUCGGUCUGCCAAUAGAUUUCUUCUGCCACCAUGUUCGAGCCAUGUUCGUUCUGUACGCAACCAAUCCGAUAUUGAAUCAAAAUCAGCAAAUCCAUCCAAAUCCAAAUCAACCAGCAGACUAACUCUAGACAAACAACAACUUAUUUCUGCCGACCUCCACGACAAUCACCACGAAAUCAACAGAAAUCGAUUUCUUCUCUAAAAUCAACAAAAUCACGUAUGGUGGGCUUGGGGCUUGGGAGCUCACCGGCUUGGCCUCGGCGGCGGCGUCGAGGCUGAGGGCAAGGGGGAAGGGGUGGUCCCCGCGCGGCACCUGCGCCGGCGUGUCCCCUGGCGGCGGCGGAGGCUGUGGAGGGGAAGGCGAAGAAGUGCUCGAGGAAGUCGUCCUUGGAGCACCCGGGCGGCGGCAACUGCCCCGCCAUGUUCGGCGACGUGGGGGCGGAGACGGGCCCCAUGCGUCACGGCCCGAAACUUCGGGCGGCUCACGACAAGCAGACAAGCGCAGUAGCGGCCGUCCGCCAUCGCGAUCUCAGAGGUGAUCAGAUCGGGAUUAGGACGAGUGGUAGUGGAGGCGUGGAGCCCUGAGAUCUCUCCCUCCCAUCCCUACUUGCUCCUGUCGUCCAACGGGUGGACGAGAUUUUGUCUCCGUUUACUUGGCCGGUCGGGAUGGGAUUUCGUCUUCGUUACUUGGCCGGUUGGUCUCGGGGUGGGAGGAAAAUUUCUGUCUGCCCUGUCCGCUCGUCGCCGGAAUCCCCUACUUCAACGUUGUUAGAGGAGGAAAAAUAAAAUAGAAGCUUCUUUAAGGUUCCCAAUGCAAAAUUGUUUGACAACAUCAGGAGAUGUUGAAAAUAAGGAAAAUACAUCGGUUUAUGUGCAAAAUGUUUAUCCUAUUAGUUUACUUUUUUAUUCUUUAAAUCAGCUGAAAAUUGAUAAAUGCUUAGUAAUUUAUAGAAAAAUCUAAAAAUUACAAGAUAAAUUUUGUUCAGCUCCACAUAUGUAGAUCCAUGCAGUGAACAAAAAAUAUCACAAAUUUUAGUAUAUUUUUUUGCUGGAGAUGUUUCUGUAUGCUUUUUAGUGUAAAAUUGAAAUUGUAGUUAUCUUGCUCCACUUAUUAUGAAACUUUUAUGGUUGCCUAUUUAAUAUGAUGCUUGAUUUGUGGUAAAAGUUUUAGCACAAUUCCUACAUAUCUCACUGAUUUACUAAUUUACCUAGAUUUAUGCUUUAGUUGACAAUCAAUUUAAGUAUGUAAAAAUAAAAAAGAUGCUUCCACUAUCUUUGCACGAUGUGUUGUUAUGUCAUAUGAACACAUUAUAAGCCCAUAUGUUUAUAAUCUACACUCAUUUAACUGAUAUAUUAUAUUUCAUAGGAAUUCUAAUCUAAAUAAAAAAACGCUAGCAACAAACUUCUCAUGUUUUAAUAUAAUACUAAGGUAUAUUAAGAGAUAAUAUUAGAGUAAGAUUAGGUUUGCCAAAUUUAUAUUUUUAUUAUUAAAUAAAUAUGUCUACAAGCUAUAUAUUAUUGUAAAUAUUAACUAUCUAAUACUAUAGAUGUCAUGGUUAUCAAUAAAAUAAAUUAUGGACUUUAAAUUUUAUAAAAAAGAAUAAAUAUAAAUAGAUAUGUAACAUUAUAUCAUCACUUAUUAUGGUCAUUUGAUGUUUUUCUCCCGUUGCAACGCACGGACAUAUUUGCUAGUUUAUAUGUAAUUUGCAAGAUAAAUCUUUUCAGUCUAAUUUAGUCUAUAAUUAAAUAUAUUUGUCAAAUAUAAAAAAAUGCUAUGGUGCUUAUUUUUUGAAACUUUUUUACAACUAAACAAGGUCAUUCCGUGAGAGUAUAUGUAGCAAUAGCAAUAAAUAAGCGGCCAUCGAUAUCUUGAGAGAGAGAGAGAAAGCUCGGUCCAAAUUCCCGAUGCAAUUUCUUGCAUGUCGACCAUGCAUGCAAGAUGCAUUGCACCGGCGGGCCCUCCUCCUGGUCACUGACUGACCGUACCACCGUGGCAACGGCCCCAUCCAACUGUCCGGACUCCUCCAGACCACCCAUGAGGAUGAGGUCCACGGCCGCGGCUGCGCCACGUUCCUGAAGCGGUCCGAGUCCCAUCCGUCCGUUCCGCGGGCGCUGACGAGUCCGCGGACGCAUGUCCUUCUCCGGCUCUCGCCCUCGGCGUCUGGCUGGCGCCUGGCGGGCGAUUCGCGGCCGGCUACCUCUCUGCCAGUCCGUCGGAGGACUCCGCCGCUCCCCGUCGCGAGCGUUCAACGGGCACGGCAACGAGGACGAAUUCAUACAAGCACAAGAGGACGGGGGGUGGUUUGUGGCCUUGUUUCUGGCACGUGUUAAACGGGAUCUGAACACCCUAUCAAGCAGUCACGAAGGCCAAGGCUGUUGGUCUCUCUGCCGUCGAAUGGAGUGGUUGAUCAUGACCAUGGACUUUGGCCUGGUUAAGUUUUCAAAUUUUUUGAUUCAGAAUACUGUAUCACUUUUGUUUGUUUGUGUUAAAAAUAUUUUUUAAAAUUAUUUCAAUUAUGGACUAACUAGACUCAAAAAGAUUUUUCUCGUGAUUUAUAGAUAAACUGUGCAAUUAGUUUUUAUUUUUGAGUAUAUUUAAUACUUCAUAUAUGUGCCGCAAGAUUUCAUAUUACAUGAAUUCUUAAAAAGUUUUUUGUUUUAUGUGGCCUUCGUAGUUUUCCACCUCACAACAGGGACCCGCUGCACGCCUUGUUUAGUUCUAAAAAAAUAGAAAAAUUAUUCCACGUCAUAUCUCGUCGCCUAGAACGACCCAGACCGCAUCGCAUGGUCUGGUACCGGACACACCGAAUCGACCCAGCCUGGGCAUACGAGGACCAUAUCGCCAACUCGUUAACCCUAGGCUGUUCAUCACCGACGCCGCAGCACCGAGAUCGUACCGAGACGCGCUGAUGGCUGGAGGAGAAGUGCGACGGAGAUGGAACCGGGGCGCCCUAAAACGUGGAGGCUCUUCUGGCCAACGCGGACGAGGAAGGGCAGUCGUCCAGGACGGCGGCGUUUCUGAUCAAGGUCACGGUCGGGAGGAAGGGCACGAACAGCGUGGUCUUGGUGGCCGAGGGCGGCCUCCCCCAGCACACGGGCGCGGAGGGCCAGCACCGCGUGCUGGUCGCGGAGGAUCAGCACCGUCUGCUGGUCGCGGAGGACCAGCACCAUCUGUGGGUCGUGGUGACCCCCAUGGUCGCGACCGAAUCCCUAGGCCGACCAAGGCGGGUGCGCUCGACCAUGGUCCUUCUUCUGAACCUGCGCGCGGAACUGAGGAUGCUGUGGAGGGCACGCAGGAACACAAGGAGGACACCAACGCAGGGCCUGGUUCCACGGUGGAUGCGGAUCAUGCCAAGAAGCGGAAGCGCAAGGGUCCUUCGGUGAAAUUGGAUUGCUCCAUAUGCACUGAAGAGCACUACACCCACCUCUGCCCUUUACUGAGAGGUCCCAAACCAUCGGUCGCUUUCUGCGGCGCUGCUGAGGAUGGUAUGGGGUUCUUCCAAAUUCAGACUGGUAAGAAACAUCAUAUUGUGGAUACCUUUCAGUCUUCUUGUGCAGCCCUCAUCACAGUUGAAGUUGGCGAAGUUUCUGCUCAAUUACUACAAACUGAACUCGCAAGAAUCAUUCCAGUCCGAUGGGAUUGGGAGGUGCAGCAGUUGGGGGCAAAAUCUUUUGUUGUCCCGUUUCCAAGCAGGGAGGAACUUGAUCGCAUGAUGGCAAUCGGUACCUUCACCACAAAGAACAACGAAGGCACCAUUGCUUUCGAGGAGUAUGUGGAUGAUGUGCAACCUUUCAAGAUACUUGAGCAGGUAUGGGUUACAGUCACAAAGGUGCCAAGAUUGCUUCGUUCCUUCCUUCCAUUGUGGGCAGUAGGGACAAUUAUUGGGUCCACAGAGAAGGUUGAUAUGAUACACCUGCGGGCGACUGGUCACGUUCGCAUUUUUGUGGCCGUUUAUGAUGUGAAGAAGAUCCCUAAAUUUAUUGAUGUUUGUGUUGGCACUGGUAUCUAUCGCUUGUAUUUCAAGGCUGAUGAAGCGGUGCAGGGUGACCCGAUAGAUCCAGAUGAGGAUCUAUCGGAAGAUAGUGAUAAGGAGCCAGAGGGGAGUGACCGUGAAGAUCCAGAUGAGAAUCUAUCGGAAGAUAGUGAUAAGGAGCCAGAGGGGAGUGACCGUGAGAUGGAAGAUGCGGAACCAGAUAACCCCCAAGACCCCCAGAAUAACACAAAAGCUUCAGACAAACACCCAGCACCUACUCAUAAUAUACCCCCCCAGAAGCAAGCGGCUUUAGUGCAAGAGGCGUUGGAUUUGGCAUGCACGCAGCUCAUUGAUGAGAUCAGCAUUCGAGUCAUGCUUGAGCGAGAUGAAGGGGUGUCAAGGAAGAAUUUUUCUACUCUGACAGCGGAAGAAUUGGAAGAGUAUAAUAAGCUUGUUGAUUUACCUAACAAAAUUAAUCAUUCUUCUGUCCUUUUGCCAACGCUGGAGACAUCGACUGAUCGUGUUGAGUUGGGGGUGCUACUUCACCUACAACCCCCCUACUCACUCUGCACACCGGCGCGGCCACAUCGGGGGGCUCUACACCGCCCAUAGCCCCCCACUUCGACACGAGCCAAGCCACGCCGGGCGCAGACCGCCCUAGCUCUGGGUCGACACUUCUGGAGGCCGCGCCGGACGGCAACGGCAGUGGGGGUGGCGCCACCUGUAGCCACCUGUUGCCACCCACUUCUGCUGGCCAGGAGAUCGGCAGAGUGGACUUGGAGUCUGCUCUGCUCACCACACUGGGCGCAGAUCCCAGCCGCAGCCAAGCUGCUGACCACGACGUGUUCAGUGGAGCCAACCCAGGAGCUGCUCUGCCCAUGGCCCAUCGCAUGGACGAUGUGGACGCGCCCGCGCCCGUCGGGAAGGACCUGGGAGCUGCAGUCGUGGCCCAUGCUAGCUCGGAGGGGUCUUCGCCAUCACCUACCCUCUGUGCUACGGCUGCGAGUUACACGGACGAGGCUUCUGUCUUCACCACGCCUCGGCCUUCGAAUGCAUUGGAGGCUGAUCUGGCCUCAUCGAUCUUGGUCGGGCAAACGGAGAUGAAGAACUCCGGAUCCACACCGACUGAGAAGCCGAAGGCGAUACUUGCAACAGCACCAAUUAAAGUGUUGCGCCAGAGCUCUAGGAUUGCGGCAACGGCGGGCGUCCAAACCCUACAUAAGGCCGAGAAUCUGACCGCUAAAAAGAACCUUGAAUUUCCUGGUAACUCUUUUACUAGCUUUCCAGAUUCUAAAGUUUUAUCAAACCUUGGUAGGGUAGGCAUCAACCUAGGCUCUUCAGAUGUUAUUUCUUUAAAAAACUUAGAGAUAGACAAGUUGGUGUUAUGUGCUAACAAAAAGAAAGUUAUUACUAAAUCUAAAGUCUCCAAUUCUGAGAGUGACGAUGAACGUGAUAACAAUCUUGAGGCAAUUCUCAGCCACGCUUGUGGAAAUUUAAGUGAGAAUUUGCCAGAGGAAGAGAACGAUCAAAUCAUAGAUCUUUCUCCACUCCGACGGAAGAAAAAAUAUAACAAUGCCAAGAAUACUUUUAAUGGCAAACUUCCUAAGAAGCCAAAGGCCCCCUCAAAGAUUAGUAUAAAAUGAAGGAAGUUUUCUAGAAUAGCAGAGGUCUAGGAGACUUGGCUAAGCACAGGUUUGUGGCUGAACUAGUUUAAGAGGAGCAAAUAAAUUUUAUUGCUAUCUCAGAGAUAGGCCGAGACUCGUUCCCAGAUCAUGUUCUCAAAAAUCUUUGUGGGGGUCAUGAUUUUCUCUAGCAUACCAUGGCACCCCACGGUAGAUCCGGGGGCAUUCUGUUAGGAGUAGACUUAAAUGUUUUUGACAUUGGAGCAAUCGCUGAAGGUGAUUUCUAUAUAAAAUUCACCCUAAGAGUCAAAUCGAAUGACUUCAAAUUUGUGUUGUAUACUAUUUAUGGACCAGCACAACUCCAGAAUAAGAGUGCUUUCCUAAUAGAACUCGCCAAUACAUGCUCCAAAGAAACCCUCCCAUAUCUGAUAGGAGGUGAAUUUAACAUCAUGCGAAGCCGUGAGGAUAAGAGCUCUGGAGAAUUCGAUCCCAAAUGGCCGAAUCUUUUUAAUGCAGUCAUUGAAUCUCUUGAUCUUAAGGAGAUAAUUAUGGCAGGACGCCAAUAUACAUGGGCAGGGCCAGGGGAUAAUCCAACUUUUGAAAAACUGGAUAGAAUUCUUGUAAGCACAGAGUGGGAAAUCAUGUUACCGCUGGCGACUGUGACACCGAGGGAUAGAAAUAUCUCGGAUCACACUCCUCUAGUGCUUAACACAGGGGCUUCAACCCAUCAAACUCAUAAUCGCCCUUUCAAGUUUGAAAGGGGAUGGUUGAUUCGUGAUGGAUUUUAUGAUAUGGUUGCUAAUAUUUGGCAAUCUCUAUGUGGUGAGUCCACCCCUCUUGACUGUUGGCAGUUUAAGAUACGCAGAUUACGGCAAUACCUCAGCGGCUGGGCGAGACACACAGCAGGGUCAUAUCGAAAAGAAAAAAGAGCCUGCUAGCUCUAUUAGAUAAUCUUGAUAAGAAAGCCGAGAUUUCUACUCUCUCUAAUCAUGAGAUUAAUCUCAAGCAUUAUCUAAAAGAAUGUUUAGUUAGCCUUCUCAGAGAGGAAGAAUUAAAAUGGUAUGAGAGAGCCAAGGUUAAAACCCUUCUGGAAGGGGAUGCCAACACUAGGUUCUUUCAUCUAGUGGCCAAUGGGAAACACCGAAAGCAACAUAUAUAUAAACUUGAAAAUGAUCAAGGUGUUAUCAUAGGUGAUGACCGACUCAAAAGCCACAUUACGGCUUAUUAUAAAGACCUUUUUGGUCAGCCGGACAGUGUUAAUAUAUCUCUAUGGGAAGACCAAAACCUGGAUAUUCCACAGGUAUCACCGGAGGAAAAUGACUUUCUGACUAGUCCUUUCACAGAAUCCGAAGUGAGAGAGGCAGUCUUCCAAAUGGAACAUAAUAAAGCUCCGGGACCAGACGGAUUUCCUGCGGAAUUCUAUCAGGUCUUUUGGGAAGUCAUUAAGGAUGAUCUUUUACCUUUGUUUGCGGAUCUCCAUAGGGAGGCCCUUGACCUUUAUAGCCAGAAUUUUGGUAUUAUCACUUUAAUUCCAAAAGUGAAUAAUGCUGUCAAAAUUCAGCAAUAUAGGCUAAUUUGUGUUCUUAAUGUGAGCUUUAAAAUAUUCACUAAAGUAGGAACCAACAGACUUAAUACAGUAGCUAAAACUGUAGUGAGGCCAACACAGACUGCCUUUAUGUCAGACAGGAAUAUUAUGGAAGGUGUCGUUAUCCUUCACGAAACCAUCCAUGAACUUCACACCAAAAAGUUAAACGGUGUCAUUCUCAAAAUUGACUUUGAGAAGGCAUACGACAAAGUGAAGUGGUCUUUCUUACAGCAAACGCUACGCAUGAAAGGUUUCUCCCCCAAAUGGUGCCGGUGGGUUGAAACCAUGGUUACUGGAGGAAGCGUGGGCAUCACAGUCAAUGAUGACGUUGGACCAUACUUCCAGCCCAAACGUGGACUCAGACAGGGAGAUCCCAUGUCACCAAUCUUGUUCAACAUCGUAGCUGAUAUGCUAGCUCUUCUAAUUAAUAGAGCAAAAGCCGAUGGUCAAAUAAGAGGUGUUGUCCCCCAUCUUUUAGAUGAUGGUUUAUCUAUAUUACAAUAUGCAAAUGACACCAUUAUCUUUGUUGAUCAUGACCCAGAACAAGCACAAAAUCUGAAACUGUUGCUUUGUGCUUUUGAACAGCUAUCAGGGUUGAAGAUCAACUUCCACAAGAGUGAAGGUUUCUGCUAUGGGGAAGCUAAAGAACGGGAAUCCUACUAUACCAGUCUCUUUGGAUGCAAUAUUGGGGAAUAUCCCUUCAGAUAUCUACGGAUCCCAAUGCACAUAGACAACUCCUCAAUUCUGAGUGGAGAAAGGUGGAAGACCGUUUCAAACAGAAACUCUCUUGCUGGAAAGCAAAAUACCUGUCUUAUGGGGGAAGACUAAUUCUGCUUAACUUAGUCUUAAGCAGCCUACCUAUGUUUAUGAUGUCCUUCUUCGAGAUCCCCAAAGGGGUCGCUGAAAAACUAGAUCAUUAUAGAUCACGGUUCUUCUGGCAAAGUACCUCAGACAAGCACAUAUAUCGUCUUGCUAAAUGGGAUAUUCUUUGUCGUCCUAAGGACCAAGGAGGAUUAGGUAUCCUGAAUCUACAGGUGCAGAAUAAAUGCCUUCUAGCCAAAUGGCUUGUUAAUUUGCUAAGCACAGUUGGCACGUGGCAAACUCUUCUAAGGAAUAAAUACCUAAGGUCCAAGAGCCUAACUCAGGUGGCAGCAAAGCCAAAUGACUCUCAUUUUUGGAGAAGCCUUAUGCAUAUCAAAGAUGAGGUCAUAGCUAAAGGCUCCUUUGAAAUUAAAGAUGGAACCAACACUAGGUUCUGGGAUGAUACAUGGGUAGCUGAUAAGCCUCUGAAAGUUAAAUAUCCAUCCUUAUAUAAUAUAGUGCGGGAUCCUCACGCAACAGUCUCAAAAGUGAUGGCUACUAGCCCACUAAACACAUCUUUUAGAAGGGCCUUGGUGGAUAAUAAACUUGCAGAAUGGCUUAGUUUAGUAGCAAAGAUUUCAAAUGUCGAACUGGUGGGAGGUUCUGAUUACUUCAGAUGGGGCCUUACCAAUUCUAGACUAUUCUCUGUCCGCUCUAUGUAUCUAUAUCUUAUAGAUACACAAAUACCUUUUCGGCAUAAGAAAAUCUGGAAGAUAAAAAUUCCUCUAAAAAUCAAAAUUUUCCUAUGGUUCUUGCAAAGGAGGGGUCGUCUUAACCAAGGACAACCUCGCCAAGAAAAAUUGGAAAGGAAGUCAAAAGUGUAUAUGUUGUAAUGGGAAUGAGAAUAUCCAACACUUGUUCCUGGACUGUCCCUUUACCAAAAUGAUAUAGAGAAUUAUUUUCUUUGCUACUAAUUUGUCCCAACCAAGAUCAAUCAGCCACAUGUUUGGUAACUGGCUAUCUAAUCAAAAUAAAAGGAUUAGGAAUUUGAUCUGGGUGGGGGUGGCUGCCAUGUUUUGGGCAAUUUGGAGAUGCCGUAACGAUGUUGUUUUCGAUCAAAAGAAAUAUAACACUAUCUUGCAGGUUAUCUUCAGAGCAGCAUAUUGGCUACGCUCUUGGGCCCAGCUGCAGCGUGAUGAGACAGCCAAGGACGCACUCUCUACGAUAAGCAAGAAAUUGGAAGUAGUUGCUUUAGAGAUUUCCAAUAAAGGAUGGAAACAUUUGUAUUGUUUGAACUAGCGUCCUAGUCGAUUUGUAGACUUUGGCUGUCUCUAUUUAUUUUCUCCAAACUUUGCAAUAUUUGGCUGUGUACAUCCACGGAUGUAGAUGCCGGAUACUUUAUAUACAUUAUCUAAAAAAAUCUAAACUUGUGGUGCAUUAUGUCUGUUUUACAAAAAAAAUUAAACUAAACAAAGCCUCGGUGAUGCUGAUGUAGUUGACAGGGGGUUAGGGACUGUUUUUUCUUUUCAUAAAAACAGAGCACCUCCAUUUCUGUGACCGUGGAAGUAUAUCUAACCUUGGUCACGUUGGGUAUUAUGCCAUGUUUAGUUCCUAAAAAUUUUAAAAUUCCUCAUCAUAUAAAAUCUUUAGACGCAUGUAUGAAACAUUAAAUAUAAAUAAAAAAUAACUAAUUACAUAGUGUAUCUAUAAUUUACGACACGGAUAUUUUAAAUCUAGUUAGUUUAUGAUUGAAUAAUAAUAGUUAAAUACAAAUGAAAGUGUCACAGUAGCCAAAUCUAAAUUUGUUCACCAACUAAACAACGCCUUAACACCAAACAUUGAUGGUCAACACGGGCGCCUGAUCGCAUCCAUGCAUGGCUGAUGCUGAUGGAACGCACCGGAAUCUCAGAAGCGUCUCUUGUCAGUACUACGUGCUGCUCCGAAGGCCCUGUUUAGAUUGGAGAUGAAAAUUUUUUAGGUGUCACAUCGAAUGUGUCGGAAGAAUGUCGAGAGGGAUUUUAGAAACUAAUAAAAAAACAAAUUACAUAGUUCAUCAGGAAACUACAAGACAAAUCUAUUAAGCAUAAUUAAUCUAUCAUUAACACAUGCGGCUAAUCAUGGAGUAACUAGGCUUAAAAGAUUCAUCUCACGUUUUUCAAUCAAACUGUGUAAUUAGUUUAUUUUUUAUGUACAUUUAAUGUUUCAUGUAUGUGUCCAAAGAUUCGAUGGGAUGGACGAAAAAAAUUUUAGGUGGGAAGGCCCUGUUUAGUUCCCCACCCAAAAUUUUUUCAUCCAUCCCAUCGAAUCUUUGGACACAUGUAUAGAACAUUAAAUGUAGAUAAAAAAAUAAACUAAUUAUACAGUUUAGUUAAGAAUCGUGAGACGAAUCUUUUAAGCCUAGUUACUCCAUGAUUAGCCUUAAGUGCUACAGUAACCCACAUAUGCUUAUGACAGAUUAAUUAUGCUUAAUAAAUUUGUCUUGCAGUUUCCUGACGAGUUAUGUAAUUUGUUUUUUUAUUAGUUUGUAAAACCUCUCCCGACAUUCUUCCGACACAUCCGAUGUGACACCCCAAAAAUUUUCGUUCUCAAUCUAAACAGGCCUGGCCCUGUUUAGUUCCUCACCCAAAAAUUUUUCAUCCAUCCCAUCGAAUCUUUGGACACAUGCAUGGAACAUUAAAUGUAGAUAAAAAAAUAAACUAAUUACACAGUUUAGUUGAGAAUCGCGAGACGAAUCUUUUAAGCCUAGUUACUCUAUGAUUAGCCUUAAGUGCUACAGUAACCCACAUAUGCUAAUGACAAAUUAAUUAUGCUUAAUAAAUUUGUCUUGCAGUUUCCUGACGAGCUAUGUAAUUUGUUUUUUUAUUAGUUUCUAAAAACCCCUUCCGACAUCCUUCCGACACAUUCGAUGUGACACCCAAAAAAUUUUCAGCCCCAAUCUAAACAGGCCCUAAGACAAGCGGUAGCGUACUGCUCCUAAGACAAGCGGUAGCGUACGGCUGAUCAACGUGUGUGGUCUUGUCUUGCGAGCAGCACGUAGUACUGACAAGAGACGCUUCUGAGAUUCCCACAGUACUACUCCUACGUCUCCACUGUACUGGUGCUGUGCUGGCCAGUGUACAGUACAACGGAUGGAGGAAGCAGCACGAGCUGCGGCCGGUUCGGGAUCAGUCGCAAAUGGGCACGCUAGCGUGGCAGCGUGUCGCGUUGCGUCAAUUCUUCUAUCUGGUAGCAUAAAUUGUACUGUUUGAACACCACCCGUGGUUCCCAAAUGGCCUUAUUUAGUUUCAAAAUAUUUUGGAAAAAUAGAUGUUGUAGCAUUUUCGUUUGUACAUGACAAAUUUUGUUGAAUCAUAAACUAAAUAGGUUCAAAAGAUUCAUCUCGUAAAUUACAAUCACAAACUGCGUAAUUUAUAUUUAAUAUUCAAUGCAUGUGUCGUAAGAUUUGAUAUGAUAGACAAAUGUGCAAUGGCCUUGUUUAGUUCACCCCAAAAACCCAAAACUUUUCAAAACUAUCCGUCAUAUCGAAUCUUGCGGCGCAUGUAUGGAGCAUUAAAUAUAGAUAAAAAUCUAUAUUUAAUAUUUCAUGCAUGUGUCGCAAGAUUCGAUACGACCAAGAAUGUGGCCUCGUUUAGUUCAUCCAAAAAACCUAAAACUUUUCAAGAUUUUUCGUCACAUCGAAUCUUGCGGCACACGCAUGGAACAUUAAAUAUAGAUGAAAAAUAAAAACUAGUUAUAUAGUUUACUUGUAAAUCGCGAAAUAAAUCUUUUAAGCCUAGUUACUCCAUGAUUAGACAAUGUUUGUCAAAUAAAAACGAAAGUAUUAUAGUGUCGAUUUCAAAAAAAAAAGGAACUAAACAAGGCGUAAAAAAAUCCCUAUGCUACCAACAAGUAACAUCAUAGGCUCACACUUCACAAAAAAUUAGUUCUAGCAGCGGCAACCAGAUCAAAAGAAAAAAUUUAACACACAUAAUAUGAUGAUGUACAAAGGGUUACAGUAUAACUGUAGCAAUGCACAUUCUAUCCAUGUUCCACUAAUAGAUUUACUAGACAGCAACGACCAAAAUUAUCCAAAUGAAUGAUACAACAACAAAAUCAGUUACAAAGUUGAGGUAUUAAUUCCCCUGGACGCCCACUGCCUCCACUGGUCCUAUGCAUGUUAAAUAUUUGUAGGCAACAUAAACAGAGGAUACGACCAGG